AUGUGCUUGCGCGUCUCCGUCACGCCGUCUUCGAAUCAACCAAUCGUUAAUCAAUUAUUAGAACAACCAGCCAUGAGAUGCAAGGUUUGUUAUUCAGGAGGAAUGAAAUCGGCUGGAAAUGGCAGCAAGUCUAGCAGUACCGGUGUUGCUGAUGGCACGGCCUGUCCGGCAGCGGCGCGGGUAGGGGUGCGUCCGGGUGCCGCCGACGACCGGGCGGACGUGCUCCGGGUUGUCGGGGUUGCCGAGGUCGUUGUAGCGGUCGUAGUCGUAGAUGCGCUCCCAGUCCUUGCGCUCCCCCUUGCCGUCCCCUCGCAGGCUCCGCAGCUCCUCGUCCCGCAGCAGCACCAGCGCCUCCGGUGUCUUGGAAGGCAGGUAGCUCUGGCAAUGGUCACCACAAAAGAAAGAGAUAAAGAAAGAAACCUUCAUGCACGAGUUCACUCAGGACAGGAUAUACCAAACAAACACAAACGAAUGGCCUCUGCUCUGACCGAGUUGAUGAAGAAGAGGCGGUCGGAGGCGGUCUUCUUGUAA
rnacentral:rRNA from 1 species